UUUUGACCUCAAAUCAGGUAGGACUACCCG
rnacentral:rRNA from 1 species